rnacentral:ncRNA from 2 species
CCACAACUUUAGGGGUGUCUGACCGAAUCGGCUCAGACUGAGAGAAUACCCUCACUACCUGAUGCAGUUCGUACUGCCGUAGGGAAAAGUUAACGAAGCUUC